rnacentral:rRNA from 1 species
AGAAUCAACGCUGGCGGCGUGCCUAACACAUGCAAGUCGAACGAGAAAGUGGAGCAAUCCAUGAGUAAAGUGGCGACCGGGUGAGUAACACGUGACUACCUACCCUUGAGUGGGGAUAACCUCGGGAAACCGAGGCUAAUACCGCAUAAUAUCGAAAGAUCAAAGGAGUAAUCCGCUUUUUGGAGGGGUCGCGGCUGAUUAGCUAGUUGGUAGGUAAUGGCCUACCAAGCGAAGAUCGGUAUCC